rnacentral:rRNA from 1 species
GAUGAACGCUGGCGGCGUGCUUAAUACAUGCAAGUCGAGCGAACAGACGAGGAGCUUGCCCCUCUGACGUUAGCGGCGGACGGGGUAGUAACACGUUGAUCACCUACCUAUACGACUGGGAUAACUUCGGGAAACCGGAACUAAUACCGGAUACUAUAUUUAAACGCAUGGUUCAAUAUUGAAAGAAGGUUUUGCUAACACUAAUAGAUGGCUCUUCGCCGAAUUAGCUAGUUGGUAAGGUACCGGCUUAACAAGGCAACGAUGCGUAGCCGACCUGAGAGGAUGAGCAGCCACACUGGAACUGAGACACGAGCCAGAAUACUACGGGAGGCAGCAGUAAGGAAUAUUGAUCAAUGGGAGAAAUCCUGAAGCAGCAACGCCGCGUGAGGGAAGAAGGGCUUUUGCUUGUAAACCUAUGUAGUGAGAGAAAAAAAUCCCAAUCUUUGGGACAUGAUGGUAUCUCAAAAGUAAGCCCCGGCUAACUACGU